AAAGACCGGACCGCUACGAUCCACCCCCUCCCUGCCCCCACCGCCCAUCCUAAAGCACCUUAUAUCGCGGAAACCACUCAGCCUCCUCUUUCCUCCGAGAACACGCGGAGCAGCCCCUGAAAACGCUUUGGUCCUCUGCAGGGGGAGCGCUCUGGGGUCUCCGCACAAAACCUGCUCUUGAGCCCUUUGGCUUUCUUCAAGCGAGCGCAGUCCGUCCAUCCCCCCCUGGCCCACCCAGCCGCAAGGGAUGCUGUGAAAAGAGCCGCUGCUUGCCGCCUCCGGCCUGCCGUCCAGAGGGCUCCGCCCGUAGAGGUCAACUCCCCUCAUUCUUCUUUCCAUCUUGCCCUCCCUCCGCCGAGCCCAGACUCGGAUCUCCUCCCGACUCCCGACUCCCGCCGCAGUCAGAGAGAGCACAUCUGCUGCGCUGCCCUUAAAUCUACGCCCAGAGCGGGGCUCAGACCCGAUCUCUGCUCUCCAGAGCCAGAGGAAGCUGGAGCAAGCAGUCUUUUCUCUUCGCAGUAAAAUCAUAGCCAGACCAGAUGGGCCCCAGCUCUCCCGGGACUCGGCAGGCUUAUAUGGAAUAAAAUAAUGUAUAUUUGUAUUACUUCAGCACCAUGAAUUUAGAAGUUACAGCAUAUUGUGAAGCAGACACAUCUUUGCUAUGAAAACUGUGACUCA
rnacentral:lncRNA from 1 species